rnacentral:rRNA from 1 species
UACGUAGGUGGCAAGCGUUGUCCGGAUUUAUUGGGUUUAAAGGGUGCGUAGGCGGUUCCUUAAGUCAGUGGUGAAAUACUUCAGCUCAACUGGAGAGGUGCCAUUGAUACUGGGGAACUUGAGUACUGAUGAGGUAGGCGGAAUGGACGGUGUAGCGGUGAAAUGCUUAGAUAUCGUCCAGAACACCGAUAGCGAAGGCAGCUUACUAAGGAGUAACUGACGCUGAGGCACGAAAGUGUGGGGAUCAAAC